rnacentral:rRNA from 1 species
UGGGGAAUUUUGCGCAAUGGGCGAAAGCCUGACGCAGCAACGCCGCGUGGGUGAUGAAGGUCUUCGGAUCGUAAAACCCUGUCGUCAGGGACGAAGGUCGGUCGUUGAAUAGGCGAUUGGCUUGACGGUACCUGGAGAGGAAGCCCCGGCUGACUCUGUGCCAGCAGCCGCGGUAAUACAGAGGGGGCAAGCGUUAUUCGGAAUUAUUGGGCGUAAAGGGCGCGUAGGCGGUUUUUUAAGUGAGAUGUGCAAUCCCCGAGCUUAACUUGGGAACUGCAUCUCAGACUGGAAGGCUAGAGUGCUGGAGAGGGUGGUAGAAGUCCACGUGUAGCGGUGAAAUGCGUAGAGAUGUGGAGGAAUACCAGUGGCGAAGGCGGCCACCUGGACAGUAACUGACGCUGAGGCGCGAAAGUGUGGGUAGCAAACA